ACGGGUGAGUAAUGUAUCGGAACGUGCCCAGUUGUGGGGGAUAACUGCUCGAAAGAGCAGCUAAUACCGCAUACGACCUGAGGGUGAAAGCGGGGGAUCGCAAGACCUCGCGCAAUUGGAGCGGCCGAUAUCAGAUUAGGUAGUUGGUGGGGUAAAGGCCUACCAAGCCUACGAUCUGUAGCUGGUCUGAGAGGACGACCAGCCACACUGGGACUGAGACACGGCCCAGACUCCUACGGGAGGCAGCAGUGGGGAAUUUUGGACAAUGGGGGCAACCCUGAUCCAGCCAUGCCGCGUGCGGGAAGAAGGCCUUCGGGUUGUAAACCGCUUUUGUCAGGGAAGAAAUCCUUUGAGCUAAUACCUCGGAGGGAUGACGGUACCUGAAGAAUAAGCACCGGCUAACUACGUGCCAGCAGCCGCGGUAAUACGUAGGGUGCAAGCGUUAAUCGGAAUUACUGGGCGUAAAGCGUGCGCAGGCGGUUAUGCAAGACAGAUGUGAAAUCCCCGGGCUCAACCUGGGAACUGCAUUUGUGACUGCAUGGCUAGAGUACGGUAGAGGGGGAUGGAAUUCCACGUGUAGCAGUG
rnacentral:rRNA from 1 species